UACAGAGGGGGCAAGCGUUGUUCGGAAUUACUGGGCGUAAAGGGCGCGUAGGCGGCCUGCUAAGUCGAACGUGAAAUCCCCGAGCUCAACUCGGGAACUGCGUCCGAUACUGACAGGCUUGAAUCCGGGAGAGGGAUGCGGAAUUCCAGGUGUAGCGGUGAAAUGCGUAGAUAUCUGGAGGAACACCGGUGGCGAAGGCAAUCCCCUGGGCCUGCACUGACGCUCAUGCACGAAAGCGUGGGGAGCAAACAGG
rnacentral:rRNA from 1 species